GAGAGAGGAAAGAACGUGUAAUCACCCAAACAAACAUUUUUACCCAUUUUCACACUCUUAGGAAGCGUAGAGAUCUAGGCAAAAAAGGUCUACUUUGAGCCUCUAUCUGCACCGGCUCACUUCUUUUACAACUUUUCUCUCUUUGGCGCCUGCAGUGCGCGUCGUCUCUCCUCCACUGUGGACGUACACACACACUUGUGACACCGGGACCGUGAAGAAGACAGAAAAGGAUAAGAAGACAGAGAGUUAGGGAGCGCUGGUGAAUGGAGAACUUCCUUCAGAUUGCUGCUAUUCUCCAGCUUAUUGCAUCCUGUCGUUUGUAGUUUCAGAUGAUGUCCAGUACGCCGCAGCUGCUCCAGCCAAUAAACAAGGCUCUCCCCAUCCCUGAUUAUAGAUGUCACAUGGCCUCCACUCCCAGCCUUGGCAUAACACUCUGAGACUAUGGUCUGCCUCUCAGGGGACUAAUAAACAGCUUAAACCAGUAUACCAGCCCUCUCCAAUGUGUGGGUUACCUAAAGAGGCCAUGCUUGACUGCAAGGUGGGGAUCAGUGAGGCUGUUCUGUGCCUUGGCUCCCCUGGCUUAGGAGGGCUUAGGUGUGGAUGUCAUUUGCUUUUUCUUCCUGGUCAGAGUGGCUAGAUGAUAAUUGUGGUGCGUAGUGACUAUAGCUUCUGUCGCCAUGGGGAAAAAGUUUGCCUAAAUUGAAAUCUGAGUAGCGUGUCUGAGAAUCGAGACGACUUCCGCUCCAUCAAUCAGUUAUAAGACACAGCAUGGAAAAGAAUUAUGACUUUUGACGCAUUUCAUCAUCCACUGUCUACUGCCUAUGUCGAACCUGGAUCGUUUCCUCUUAAUUUUAUUCCAUUUCACUGUUCAGUGGACCAGCCUUGGAGGAAGCCACACUUUCAGCAAUGAGGUCAAUCUUAAAAUUCAACCUGCUUUCAGAUGAAUUCACUCAUGUUUGAUUCAAUGCCAAAGAACUGGCACUGAUAACAAAUUCAAUUUGAACAACUGUGGUUGGUGAAAUAAAAGCAAGGGAUCAUUAUGUAUUUGUGGAUCAUAUCAAGAACUGAAUCCAAGGGAUAUUGGUUUUGAAAUACACGAGACAAAAAGCCAUUCCACAUCCUCUGCAGUUUAUGAAAGGCCCUGGUUAACAUCCGUUGUGGGGUUGGAAUCAAACGCCUGCACUGGCAUCGCCACGUGCUGAUAUGAUUUACCGGUAUUCUCUCCCUCAGGACCUUUCAAAUGAACAGAAAUGUAUGCUCAGCUGCCCUGUACAUGUAACCUCUGUGUUCUCUGUGGACCGCUGUGCUGUAAUAUGAUAAGUGUCUUGUCAAUAGCUUGUAUGAUAUGCUAAUCAUACUAAAACACCGUGCCUCAGGCGGUCUCCUUGUUUAUUUAUGAAGGCUUGACCUGAGGGAGAAGAAUAAUCGGCUUUUCUCUGAACCCUCUAACCCUGGGAGCCAAGGGAACUGCCAAUCACACACAACUGAGUCCUAUAAUUCCCCCACCUCUUUUUCUCGCUUUCUCUGCUCCCCCUCGAAUGAAAUGGCAGAUUUAUGCAAACAAUGCCGCAUGUGCAUUUUUCCUGUCCAGUUCAUGUCAAGUGCUCAAAUCACUGCAGUAAGUCUAAAGUGGGGCUGACAUAAACAAGUUAUCAAUAGCCCGUCAAGUUGGUUGUGUCACAACUUGGCAAAUGUAACACCUCAUGAUAAAUGCACACCAAAUCCAUCAUAUGAUUGGACUGUGAUUAAAUUGAAGUCCAUUGCAGAACCUUGGCUUUUUUUAACAAAAUAAUUAGAAUUAGAAUAAUGAACAAGAACACUGGCAUAUGUGUUGAUCUGAGGCAGUAUUAUAAAAUAUACUGUGUAUAAGGGGACCACAACAGGUGGCGCGCGGGCCACAUCCAGCCGGCCAUAGCUUUUCAUUUGGCCUGCCAAACAUCACAUGAUAAUGUAAACUAUCUAGUCUAAUAAUAUCUAUCUAGAUAUUAUUAUUAUUAUUAUAUUAUAUUAUCUAUCUAGUAGAUAAGUGCUCAUUCAUGAAGUCCUUUCUCCACUCUGCAGGGGCAACAGCGAGGCGUAUGUGUCGUGUUUCACUAAAAUUGGACUUUUAAAAGUGACUGACUACAAAAUAUGCAUUUACAAAAAAUGCAGUGGGGAAGCCAAAUGUGAUUACUUUUAAUUAUGAUAUCAAACAAAAACAAGAUGGUUAAGGGCGCUCACAGGGAUAUUGAUGCCAUCUACACUCCAGCCUCUCCAGUCUCUACAGUCAAUAUAACCUGUGGAGGCACUUUCAGAUGAAAUGUCACAACUUUGAUGCAGUCUAUCUCUCCUAUCAUAUUUAAAAUAAUAAUACAUUUUAUAUGUUUAUUUGGGCUGUCAAAUGAUUAAAAGAUUUAAUCAGAUUAAUCACUGCUUUCAAAUGAAUUAAUCAUGAAUAAUCACCAUUUGCAACUAUGUCUGAAAUAUGCCCAUUUUUACUGUAUUUUGUUGAAAGAAAGAUAAAAGACAGGACAGGAUUAUAAUAUAUUUGCACAGUGGUGUGAAAAAGUGUUUGCCCCCUUCCUGAUUUCUUAUUUUUUUGCAUGUGUGUCACACUUAAGUGUUUCAAAUCAUCAAGCAAAAUUAAAUAUUAGUCAAUGACAACAUAACUGAACAGAAGAUGCAGUUUUUAAAUGAAACUUUUUAUUAUUAACGGACAAAAAAAAUCCAAACCUACACGUCACUGUGCGAAAACCACGAUCACCGGUUCUGCUUCAUAACACACCUCAUAUAUAGAAGAGAUCCUUGUUGACGAUUUAGUGACAGGGUUGGUGUAUUUAGCGAGCAGUGGUGCACAUUACCAGUUAAAGUCAGGAAGUGUUUCUUGCUUCAAGUAUCCUUGACGCGCACCUCCAAUUGUACAUACAGUAAGUAUCGGCAUGCAAUGCCAGUCUGAAAGCUGCAUACGCCCCUCCACGGUGCAACCCAAGCCCUGCAGAGACAGAGACAAGAAGGCAAGACAAUCUGGCUCGCCGAACACGCAUGCGUGUCCAACAUGGCAUAAUGUAACUAGAAAAAUCUGAAAUGUUGAUACUAAUAACUAAUAUUACAGGCAGUAUAAAUUGUCUGUGAGAAAAUACAUGUCGCUUAUGCCAAUUCCGCAACUUUACAGAUUGAAAGAUGACAUAUUAAGGCAAAUGUUGCAUUAUUAUUUUUUAUUAUUGUUAUUAUAUAUUAUCGUAACAGUGAUUAAUUUGGUCUCUGAAAAUGUUGACGAUAAAAUUGUUUCGCAUCAAUUUGUGGGACAAUAAACAUUUCAAAACACACCUGCAUUGUUUUCUCGUGUGGUCUGGUCCUCAUAGACC